UUUUAAGUGAGAAAUUUCACCAAUGUGACUGCACCUUUUUAAAUUUGCAUUUGACGAAGCAAGCGAAAUGGGCUGGAUUUGAAAUCCAGUGUUAUACUCCUUGUAUUUGUUUUUAAGUGUAUUAAAAUAAGGUCAUUUAUCAAGCCUGAAAAUGACUUGUAAAGCUCUUAAGAUAUUAAUAGGCAGAUAUAAUGCUACAUCAUUGAGUUUUGGUGCAUUGAAAACUCCAACCCUCUGUCAGGGAAGGACAAGCAGGAACUGUUGCCAGUGCUUUUGGAUUGUGAAAUGAAACUUUGUAUCAUUAGGACAUUAUGAUACUUGAGAUGUUUCAGGACUGCGCCACCUAUUGGUCAAAAGUUUAAAGGAAAUCGCAGUUGCUUCAAUGUGAAUUGUUUAUAAUACAGUGCCUUGAGCCUGAAUGUGAUUAUUAGUAUGUUUCACAUACCUCACCAUCAGAAGAGGAUGUAUUCUGUACAAUGGGCUUAUAAAUGAGAGGGCUCAAAAGUUCUCAUUUUAUUUCAUUAAAACAUUGUUAGAAAAAAAAAUCAAUAAUGUUUUUUCUGUUAAAGUAUUAAACCUUAAUCGAUUUUAAA